rnacentral:piRNA from 1 species
UUCAAAUGGGCAUGGAAGUGGCAAAG